AGGGAAAAGAAAUUGUAGAUAGAUAAAUACCGGUUUUCUUUCUUCUCUUACACACUGCAUUUACGUCUCCAGCAGCUGCACCACAACUACAGAGAAGAGAGUAAAGGGGAAAAAAAGCGUCGUCGUUUUUGCUUCUUCUUCUACUUCGCUCUCUCUCUUUCUCCGAAGUUCUUCUUUCGUUCUUUCAUUUAUUCAGUAUUGUAAAAGAUGGCCGACGGUGAGGAUAUUCAACCCCUCGUCUGUGAUAAUGGAACUGGAAUGGUGAAGGCCGGUUUUGCUGGUGAUGAUGCUCCAAGGGCAGUUUUUCCCAGUAUUGUUGGUCGUCCCCGGCACACUGGUGUUAUGGUUGGGAUGGGUCAGAAGGAUGCCUAUGUAGGAGAUGAAGCACAAUCUAAAAGAGGUAUCCUUACUUUGAAAUAUCCUAUUGAGCAUGGUAUUGUGAGCAACUGGGAUGAUAUGGAAAAGAUCUGGCAUCAUACAUUCUACAAUGAACUCCGUGUUGCUCCUGAGGAGCACCCUGUGCUUCUCACGGAGGCACCUCUCAACCCCAAGGCCAAUAGAGAAAAGAUGACUCAGAUCAUGUUUGAGACCUUCAAUGUCCCUGCUAUGUAUGUUGCCAUCCAGGCUGUCCUCUCUUUGUAUGCCAGUGGUCGUACAACAGGUAUUGUGCUGGAUUCCGGUGAUGGUGUUUCUCACACCGUGCCAAUCUAUGAAGGAUAUGCCCUUCCACAUGCCAUCCUCCGUCUUGACCUUGCAGGUCGUGAUCUAACCGAUGCCUUGAUGAAGAUUCUUACCGAGAGAGGUUACAUGUUCACCACCACUGCUGAACGGGAAAUUGUCCGUGACAUGAAGGAGAAGCUUGCUUAUGUUGCCCUGGACUAUGAGCAGGAACUGGAGACUGCGAAGAGCAGCUCAUCUGUUGAGAAGAACUAUGAGUUGCCUGACGGACAAGUCAUUACUAUUGAGCUGAGAGAUUCCGCUGUUCGGAAGUCCUCUUCCAGCCAUCUUUCAUUGGGAUGGAAGCUGCUGGAAUCCAUGAAACUACCUACAACUCUAUCAUGAAGUGUGAUGUGGAUAUCAGGAAGGAUCUCUACGGUAACAUUGUGCUCAGUGGGGGUUCAACCAUGUUCCCUGGUAUUGCAGACCGCAUGAGCAAGGAGAUCACUGCACUUGCUCCAAGCAGCAUGAAGAUUAAGGUCGUUGCGCCACCAGAGAGAAAGUACAGUGUCUGGAUUGGAGGAUCUAUCUUGGCAUCACUCAGCACCUUCCAGCAGAUGUGGAUUUCCAAGGGUGAGUAUGAUGAAUCCGGUCCAUCCAUUGUCCACAGGAAGUGCUUCUAAGUUUUGUAAUUGCUUUUGAUGGUGAUCUACAUUUUGCAUUUAGUUGGCUUUUUUUGUGUGCGGUGUCAAGUGAACUCCAAAGUCUGGUUUAUGUGGGGGGAGUUGGGGAUCAUUGUAGGAUGGUGUACUUGAUAUUGACGUAUUAUUAUUUUAGCUUUUCACCGUAUCACCACCAUUAAGAUGAUGGGUCCUAUUGAGAUGGCGGUGGGCGGACAAUUGGUGCUUAAUUCCUUCCUUACAAUCCAUCUUUGAACCAUGUUGCUUAAAAGGAUGUUUGGAGCUGGAGAGUGGAUUGUGGUGCUUUUUUAUUUUAUUUUAUUUUAUUAUUUAAUAUUCAAGGGUUUUGAGAACAUUAAUGUUAAUAGCUAUUAUUGUACGAGAUUUUUUUUUGAAAAAUUAGUGUCAGUUUGCGGUCAAACUUCUAUGGAACUUAUAUUUAAUACCUGGUUUUGGAA